GACGACGACGACGACAAUGAUUCAUUCUACCAAUAGUUAUUCUGUCACCAUACUGGCUAUCUCUUUAGCAACCUGUGACUCUGCAGGGAAGGAGUUGCUCACUUUGCUAUCGCCAAAGUCUGGGCACCCACCACAGCCCAGCCAACAGAACAGUCUCUAGAAUACAAUGCAUGCGUCAGGGAGGGAACCAAGGGAGGGGCGAUCUUGAGGGUAACUGAAGACUGGGCAGGAUGUGCAGGAAAGCUGAGAGAAUCUCCAGUUCAGAGCCCCCAGUCCCAGCAGGGGCAGGUGCCUGAGAGGAUGGAGAAGAGAAUUUUAGAGGUUACUUAAAGGAAGAAAGGAAAGGACCAGACUUUUGGUGCCUGCUUGUUGGUGUGGACACUGAGAACUAGAGCCCAGCGUUUUGCAAUAAAUUACCUAUCUGUAGGCCCCCUCUCCCCAUCCAGGAGCAUCCACUUCCACCCGGUCUGGCAGGGCUGCAAAACAGAGAGCCUGGACUGCUCCCCAAACCUAGGUUCCCGUCCCCAUGAUGCAGGAGAUAAAACACAAAACAGGGACUUCAGUUCUCUGCUGAUUGAACAAGUGAAAUUUCUGAGUUCUCACUUAUAAAAUGAGACUUGAUGC
rnacentral:lncRNA from 1 species